CUUUUUCUGACUCCUAUAAUGCUCUGUGCAUUUGCAUAUAAUAAGCAUCCUACAUGGCCAUGCCUGCUCUGAAUUUCCAUGAACUUUCCCUCAACCUCCUCUCUUUCUGUCCCUGGUCAUCAGUGGGUUAGGCUGUGCAGACCACCUCUACGAGUCAGACACCCUGCUGCACUGCUUCUAGGUACUCAGGAAGCUGCUAGGGUCCCCUGUCACCCAGGACAUCAUCUGACAAGCACUUCAGCUAUGUUGUGCCUCUCUUUGCCUCCUGGACUAUCAUACAACACUAAACACUAGGAAAAUCUUGUUGAUUCGACCCAAGAUGCUGCUGGCCAGCUAUGGGAACAACCGGGAGUUCCGCUGGUUUUCACCAUGGAAUAAACUCAGACAUGUGGAGGAGUACCUCCUGCCCAGGAUGAUCCAGGAUGUGACAGGAUGG